UUGCUUUAGCAGCAUAUAUACUAAAAUUAUAAAGAUACAGAGAAGAUUAACAGGCUCUGGUGCAAGGACAAUAUUCAAACACAUGAAGUAUUCAUAGUUUUA
ensembl:snRNA U6 U6 spliceosomal RNA